CAGAGUAGGCAGAUGAGCGUACAGUGUCAGACGGACGGGGAGUUGCCGUCUGAACGAAAGGGAAUGAUAUCCCUGCGGUUCAUCUGCCGCAUCCCGCUG
rnacentral:ncRNA from 1 species